GACAAGUUUUAGGUAAGUCUUCUAAAUUUACUAUAGGUUAUUCCUGCUUGUUU
rnacentral:tRNA from 1 species